GACGAACGCUGGCGGCGUGCUUAACACAUGCCAGUCGAACGGAAAGGCCCUGCUUGCCGGGUACUCGAGUGGCGAACGGGUGAGUAACACGUGGGUGAUCUGCCCUGCACUUCGGGAUAAGCCUGGGAAACUGGGUCUAAUACCGGAUAGGAGCCAUUUUUAGUGUGAUGGUUGGAAAGUUUUUUCGGUGUAGGAUGAGCUCGCGGCCUAUCAGCUUGUUGGUGGGGUAAUGGCCUACCAAGGCGGCGACGGGUAGCCGGCCUGAGAGGGUGGACGGCCACAUUGGGACUGAGAUACGGCACAGACGCCUACGGGAGGCAGCAGUGGGGAAUAUUGCACAAUGGGCGCAAGCCGGAUGCAGCGACGCCGCGUGGGGGAUGACGGCCUUCGGGUUGUAAAAUCCAUUCGCUAGGGACGAAGCUUUUUGUGACGGUACCUAGAUAAGAAGCACCGGCUAACUACGUG
rnacentral:rRNA from 1 species